UCUGUGCUUCAAGCCAAGUAAAGUGCUGUGUGGAGUGAAGAGCCAUGAAUAAAGAUAGUUAAUCUUUUACUUCUCUGCCUAAGACCUGCAGCGCUGGAUAUUUACGGAAGGCACAACUUCAAUUUCUCCAGUGUCUAUAGAGAAGGGCUGUGGGAUGCAAUGGGUUAAGAUCUCCAUUGGCUGCAGUAUCUGGGCAGCAAAAUCAGAAAGGCAGAGCUCUUUCUUUGAGCUGGUGGAUUCAAAUCCUAGUACUUGAAAUUAGCGGCAGAAAAGAUGCAGCGGUUUGCUUGGAACUAAUUCUUUGAAGGAACAUAUCUCGGAUGCUGGAGAUAUGAGGAAUAAAUAAUUACACA